AUGCAAUGGUGUGGGCAUCUUCUCAAGAGUUCCUUAUAUCUCUCCCAUGCCUCAUAUAAAGUUUCUGCUUCUUGCUGCAUGAAGGAUGUGAUCUCUCCUCUUAGCUU